rnacentral:rRNA from 1 species
AGGAUGAACGCUGGCGGCGUGCUUAAUACAUGCAAGUCGAGCGGUAAGGCCCCUUCGGGGGUACACGAGCGGCGGACGGCUGAGUAACGCGUGGGAACGUACCCCAAAGUGAGGGAUAAGCACCAGAAAUGGUGUCUAAUACCGCAUGUGCUCUAAGGAGUAAAGCUCCGGCGCUUUGGGAACGGCCUGCGUUCGAUUAGCUUGUUGGUGAGGUAAUGGCUCACCAAGGCGACGAUCGAUAGCUGGUCUGAGAGGAUGACCAGCCAGACUGGGACUGAGAACGGCCCAGACUCCUACGGGAGGCAGCAGUAGGGAAUUUUCCACAAUGGACGAAAGUCUGAUGGAGCAACGCCGCGUGCAGGAUGAAGGCCUUAGGGUUGUAAACUGCUUUUAUGUAUGAAGAUUAUGACGGUAGUACAUGAAUAAGGAUCGGCUAACUCCGUGCCAGCAGCCGC